rnacentral:tRNA from 1 species
GUAGCUCAGGGGUAGAGCGCAACCUUGCCAAGGUUGAAGUCGUGAGUUCGAAUCUCAUCGCCCGCUCCA